GAGAAAAGUGGCAGAAGGGUGGGAGAGUCAGCGACUGUGAGAGAGGAGAAAACGCCGACCACCUUUGGUCGAUCGAUUCAAUGGCCAAACGAGCUCUUUUUCAUGUGAAAAAUUGAAGGAAAGUUCUACUCGAUGCAAGGAACAUUCCUACAAUGGUUGAUUACAUUUUCAACGGUUGGAUUGUUAGAUCUGUGAUGCAGAUGUGACUCCUGAUGAACCACAGAUGGGGCAAGGAGGGCUUCAGGAUGCCCUAAGAGAUUUUGGAGCAGCCUAGUGGAUUGUAGUAUAUUUGUUAUGUUGGUUUAUUUUGGAACUUGUAUUAGCAAACCUUGAAACUAUAUAUUUGUAAUGAGACUUUAUUUUGAUUAAUUUUGUCAACUGUGAACUCUUAUUUCUAGACUUUCAUGAUAAUUAUUAUA